UACGUAUGGUGCAAGCGUUAUCCGGAUUUACUGGGCGUAAAGGGAGCGCAGGCGGCGCGCCAAGUCCGAUGUGAAACCCCGGGGCUCAAUCCCGGGCAUGCAUUGGAAACUGGCGGGCUGGAGUGCCGGAGAGGUAAGCGGAAUUCCUAGUGUAGCGGUGAAAUGCGUAGAUACUAGGAGGAACACCAGUGGCGAAGGCGGCUUACUGGACGGCAACUGACGCUGAGGCUCGAAAGCGUGGGGAGCAAACAGG
rnacentral:rRNA from 1 species